GCGAGCUAAUUGCAUUUACUUAAAAUUAAAUUUUAAGAGAGUGUCCCUUUUUAUUUAUAAAAAAUUGGAUGGCUUUUAAGAGAGUGGUCCCUUUUUAUUUUAAAAAUUUGAAAACCUUUUAAAGAGGAAGGGUCCAUUUUUUAUGUAGUUACUACUUUGUAGUUUAAAAUUCUAGAUAGAAUUAUGAUGAUGACAUUAUCUAUCUAUUAGUCUUGACCAAAUUACGUGCCAGCAGUCGCGGUAAUACGUAAAAGACAAGUGUUAUUCAUCUUUAUUGGGUUUAAAGAGUACCAAGACGGUUAAUAAAGCCCAAAAUACAUGAACACAGGGGACACAUUAACUAGAGUUAUAUGAAAGGAAGCACUAAAGUACUGUUGAGUGUAGAGAUAAAAUUCUAUCAUACCAGAUAAAGGCACAGAUUUAUGCGAAGGCAUCUUCUUAUGUAAUAACUGACGUUGUAGGACGAAGGCUUUUUAAGUGAAGAGGAUUAGAGACCCUUGUAAUCUAAGCAGAAAAUGAUGAAUGUCAUAGGUUUAAUAUAUUAUUGGGUCUAUAAAUGAAAGUGUAAGCAUUCCACCUCAAGAGUAAUUUGGCAACAUUGGAACUGAAAUCAUUAGACCGUUUCUGAAACCAGUAGUGAAGUAUGUUGUUUAAUUAGAUGAUACACAAAAAACCUUACCACAAUUUGAAUAUAUAUCUUUAAAGAUAUUUACAAGCGUUGCACGGCUGUCUUCAGUUAAUGUCGUGAGAUUUUGGUUAGUUCCAUAAAAUUAACGUAAACCCUCGUUUUAUUUAGAAAUAAAAUUUAGAUCUGUUUCAAU
rnacentral:rRNA from 1 species